rnacentral:rRNA from 1 species
AUUGAACGCUGGCGGCAGGCCUAACACAUGCAAGUCGAGCGGAGGAAGGGAGCUUGCUCCUGGAUUCAGCGGCGGACGGGUGAGUAAUGCCUAGGAAUCUGCCUGGUAGUGGGGGAUAACGUCCGGAAACGGGCGCUAAUACCGCAUACGUCCUGAGGGAGAAAGUGGGGGAUCUUCGGACCUCACGCUAUCAGAUGAGCCUAGGUCGGAUUAGCUAGUUGGUGGGGUAAAGGCCUACCAAGGCGACGAUCCGUAACUGGUCUGAGAGGAUGAUCAGUCACACUGGAACUGAGACACGGUCCAGAAUACUACGGGAGGCAGCAGUGGGGAAUAUUGGACAAUGGGCGGAAGCCUGCUCCAGCCAUGCCGCGUGUGUGAAGAAGGUCUUCGGAUUGUAAAGCACUUUAAGUUGGGAGGAAGGGCAGUAAGUUAAUACCUUGCUGUUUUGACGUUACCAACAGAAUAAGCACCGGCUAACUUCGUG